UUAAUUCCAUACCAUUUUCUUUGAUUGACACAAAUUCAUUGCACCGAGCAACAAUGUCCCAAAAACCCAACCGCCACCAGCGGCGGCCGUCGCAGGGUGUUUUCGUGAUACCGGAGGAUAUCUCCGCUCCUCUCCCGGAUGGCAUUGUUCCGCCGCCUACGGCAACCACUCAAGCUCAUCCACCACCGCAAGUGAAAAGUAGUGGAGGCGGAGGUGGAGGCGCUCACUUGCCACCGCAACCACCGGCUAAGACGGCGGAGGAAACUCUGGCGACGACUUCCGGUCGUUCUAGGAAAGGAUAAAACUCCAUAGAUCUAUCUAGUGCAUAAUAUAUGUAAUAAAAUACAUGUGUAUGAUCUGUUUGGAAUAUAUGUUUUCUCUAGUUAAGUAGAUCUUUGCUGGAGAAACAAAUAUAUAAAGUAAUAUAAUGCUUAAUUAUCAUGUGGUUAAUUAAGUUUAUCGUUAAAUUCGAC
rnacentral:lncRNA from 1 species